UUGACCUCAAAUCAGGUAGGACUACCCGCUGAACUUAAGCAUAUCAAUAAGCGGAGGAAAAGAAACUAACAAGGAUUCCCCUAGUAACUGCGAGUGAAGCGGGAAAAGCUCAAAUUUGAAAUCUGGCAGUUCUUUUGACUGUCCGAGUUGUAAUCUAGAGAAGUGUUACCUGUGCUGGACCAUGUACAAGUCUUCUGGAAUGGAGCAUCAUAGAGGGUGAGAAUCCCGUCUUUGACAUGGACUACCAGUGCACUGUGGUGCGCUCUCAAAGAGUCGAGUUGUUUGGGAAUGCAGCUCAAAAUGGGUGGUAAAUGCCAUCUAAAGCUAAAUAUUGGCGAGAGACCGAUAGCGAACAAGUACCGUGAGGGAAAGAUGAAAAGAACUUUGGAAAGAGAGUUAAACAGUACGUGAAAUUGCUGAAAGGGAAACGCUUGAAGUCAGUCACGUUGGCUAGAAAUCAGCCUUGCUUUUGCUUGGUGUACUUUCUGGUUUGACGGGUCAGCAUCGAUUUCUUUGACCAUUGGAUAAAGUCUCUGGGAAUGUGGCAUCUUUGGAUGUGUUAUAGCCCAUUGUCGCAUACAAUGGUUGGGAUCGAGGAACUCAGCAUGCCGCAAGGCCGGGUUUAAACCACGUUCAUGCUUAGGAUGCUGGCAUAAUGGCUUUAAUCGACCC
rnacentral:rRNA from 1 species